rnacentral:lncRNA from 1 species
UGUAAUAACACUAUCAGAAGGCAAAGAAGACUCAGAUUACACUGCACAAUUAACUGUCAGGAAUCAAGAGAGGAGUGUGUUACAAGAAAAGGAAGCCUAUGAAAGUAGAAAGUGUAGUGAGACAACAAAGGCUACACUCAGGUGAUAUUAAUCAAAAGAAAGUACAAUUAAAGUAAGAUUCAUGAAACCUCAAUAAAGAUUCAUUAUCUAAGAAGAACACAAC